UUUUGAGAAGCAAUUGACCUCCUGUUAUUUCUCCUUCAAAAUAUAGAAGUUACUUCUUGUUGAGUUGAUUUACAAAUUACAGGGAUAUGUAGUUUGUCGAAUGGAACAGAAGUUCAUGCUGGGGUUGACAAGGUAUAUGUCAGGUUCAAGUUGGGUCUGGUCAGGUCAGGGCACCUGUACAUGUAUGGUUACAGGUUGGUCCAGUGUCUAUUGUGGUUGAAGAGUUGCCAACGGAGGUCAGUCUAUACUGCAGUGUCCAAUAAAGUGAGGCCGGUUGGGUUUAAUUACAGCAUGAGGACGUCUGAAUUUUUAGCCCUGGAAAGCUAUCAGAAUGAGUUGUAUUAGAGAUAUAUGUUGAUGUGCAGGCAGGGACGUCCUUGAAGGGGUUGUAGUAGUCGGGGCAGUGUUUGAGUCUUCAAUUUGUCCUUGGUUGUAAUAGUAGAUUCUAUGAUUCGGCAUUUGUUUUUCUUACUGGUGGGUGAGUAUAUAUAAAGUUAACCCAAAAAAACCCUCUUAUUUUGGUGUAUUGCAAGAAACUGGCAAGUAUUUUGUCAAUAGUGUGAUUCUCGUGUUCUUUUAA